rnacentral:rRNA from 1 species
AGAGUUUGAUCCUGGCUCAGAUUGAACGCUGGCGGCAGGCCUAACACAGGCAAGUCGAGCGGUAACAGAAAGUAGCUUGCUACUUUGCUGACGAGCGGCGGACGGGUGAGUAAUGCUUGGGAACAUGCCUUGAGGUGGGGGACAACAGUUGGAAACGACUGCUAAUACCGCAUAAUGUCUACGGACCAAAGGGGGCUUCGGCUCUCGCCUUUAGAUUGGCCCAAGUGGGAUUAGCUAGUUGGUGAGGUAAUGGCUCACCAAGGCGACGAUCCCUAGCUGGUUUGAGAGGAUGAUCAGCCACACUGGGACUGAGACACGGCCCAGACUCCUACGGGAGGCAGCAGUGGGGAAUAUUGCACAAUGGGCGCAAGCCUGAUGCAGCCAUGCCGCGUGUGUGAAGAAGGCCUUCGGGUUGUAAAGCACUUUCAGUCAGGAGGAAAGGUUAGUAGUUAAUACCUGCUAGCUGUGACGUUACUGACAGAAGAAGCACCGGCUAACUCCGUGCCAGCAGCCGCGGUAAUACGGAGGGUGCGAGCGUUAAUCGGAAUUACUGGGCGUAAAGCGUACGCGGGCGGUUUGUUAAGCGAGAUGUGAAAGCCCCGGGCUCAACCUGGGAACUGCAUUUCGAACUGGCAAACUAGAGUGUGAUAGAGGGUGGUAGAAUUUCAGGUGUAGCGGUGAAAUGCGUAGAGAUCUGAAGGAAUACCGAUGGCGAAGGCAGCCACCUGGGUCAACACUGACGCUCAUGUACGAAAGCGUGGGGAGCAGACAGGAUUAGAUACCCUGGUAGUCCACGCCGUAAACGAUGUCUACUAGAAGCUCGGAACCUCGGUUCUGUUUUUCAAAGCUAACGCAUUAAGUAGACCGCCUGGGGAGUACGGCCGCAAGGUUAAAACUCAAAUGAAUUGACGGGGGCCCGCACAAGCGGUGGAGCAUGUGGUUUAAUUCGAUGCAACGCGAAGAACCUUACCUACACU